AUUGUAAUGGGGAAUGUUAAAGUUGGGGCCUGGUGGGAGGUGUUUUAAUCAUGGAGAAGCAGCGGGGUUGGAGGUAACGGGGUGGAGAGAAUGGGGGAGAUUAUAUUGUGGGUGGGAGUGAAAGAUCAGGGAGGGGGCAGAUCCUUCACAAAUGGUUAAGCACUCUCCUUAAUGCUGUUCACAUGACAGUGAGUUCUCUUGAUGAUUUUGGAGCUGAGAGAUUGAGUGAAUACUGUCCUGCUGGGUUAUGGAUUUGCAUUGGGCCUGUGGGCCCAUUUGUGUUAUUUUUCUGGGAAAUUUCUUCCCUUUGGACUGAGAAAUCUUACACAAUGCCUCUACCAUCAUUGUACCUUGAAAGAAAAGAACUCCGUUUUAAAUUCAGGGACCCAUAGGCAGAAGGGACUGUGGCCUUAUCUCGGAUGAGACUUUGAAGUUUUUACAUUUGGAAUGAGUUAAGACUUUUGCAAACUUUUGAAGAGUCAUGACUGUAUUUUGCUCUGUGAUAAGGACAUGAGAUUGUGGAAUAUCAGGGUCAGAAUUAUAUGGUUUUCCUGUGUGUCCCUAUGAAACUCAUGUGGAAUUGUAAUCCCUAAUGUUGAAGCAGGUGACUUAAUUAUGGACAGGAGGUUGGUGGCGUGGAAGGUAAAAGGGAUGGGUAAGAUUCGGAGGAGUGAGUUGGCAGUAGGGUGGUGGGAGGGUGGGGGGUAGUAGGAAGGGGGAGUAGCCUGCUGCAGAGGCAAAGCCUCGUGGAAAACCUCUAUUAGGGCAGUGCACCUGUGGCUUUGCAGGUUUUAACCCCUCAGCUGUUCUCAUGGGGUGGGCUGGUAUUGAGGGCCUGUAGCUUUUCUACACUAAGGGCGUGAGUUGUUGGUGGGUCUGCGAAUCUGGGGUCUGGAGGUUGGUGGCCACCUGUGUGGGGACUCCAAACCCAUAUUUUCUUUCUGCACUUCCGUAAUAGAGUUUUUCCAAGAGGCUCUGAGUCUUCAGUAGGCUUCUGCCUGGAAACAGUGGGAGUUGGGUGUGUGGGGCGGAUCCUUCACCAAUGUUUAAGCACCAUCUUCUAGAUGCUGACCUUGUGAUAGUGAGUUCUCAUGAGAUCUGCUUGUAUAAUGGGGCAUGACACCUGUUUCCUUUCUCUGUCUUGCUCCUACUCUUCCCAUAUGAGACAUCUCCUUGCCCCUUGACAUUCUGGUAUGAUUGGG
rnacentral:lncRNA from 1 species